AUUUUUAAUAAAUUUAAUUUGAUUAUAAACGAUAUUUAGUCCGAUUAAAUUUUUUCUGUUACUAGUCAUUACUUCUUUGGUACUUGUCGAGGAAAACUUGUGGAAAACUAACCAAUUGGAUUCUAUGCAACGGCGCUUCGAGGUUAGAUGAGGCGUGAGGUCCAGAAUGCGCAAUGAGCCGAACAAUGGAUCACCCGGAUAUUGGGUGUCAAGUGGUGGCUGGCUUCACUAUGAGAGUAAUCUCUUCUACAAAAUUAGGUCAAAUUUUUAAAUCUCAGGUUUUACUCAUUUGAUUUUGUAGCUUACACAGACUGUAAGUAUGUACUGUAAUAAUGAAUUAAUACGUUUUGCA